rnacentral:sRNA from 1 species
UUUUAGCCCUGAUGGUAAUGGAAAUCCUUUUCUUUUUUUCUUUAAAAAAGAAAAGAUUGGAGUGAACAGCGGGAAACAGC